rnacentral:snRNA from 1 species
AUACUUACCUGGACGGGGUCGAUGGCCAAUCAAGAAGGGUCAUGGCCUAGGUUAGCGGCCUCCAUUGCACUUGGGAGGAGCGCUGGCCUACCAUCUCCCCAAGUGGGAGAGUGGACGUCAUAAUUUGUGAAGAGGGGGUACGCGUUCGCGCGGCCCCUAC